rnacentral:lncRNA from 10 species
GUGCACGGCUGUAGUUGCAGCUACUCAGGAGGCUAAGGCAGGAGAAUCACAUGAAUCCAGGUGUUUGAGGCUGCAGUGAGCCAUGAUCACACCACUGCACUCUAACCUGCAUGCAGAGUGAGACUCUUUCUCAAAGAAAAAAAAAAUUUAGAGGUGAUGGUAGUAACAAUAUUGUUACCACUACUACAAAUACGUUACAAAGAUAGUAAAAUAUUGACAGUGUUUAAGUUGGAUGAUAGGUACUCAGGGGUUUAUUAUCAAUUCUUUGUACUUUAUGUUUGAAAUUUUCCAUGAUCAAAACAAUUACAUUUUAAAAAAUAAAUGCUUGAAGGAAAAAACUCUUUAAAGAAGAAGGUGACUCAUUAGAAUGAGAAAGAUUGGCCCCAGUUUAUCUCUAUUUUAAGGUCAGGUUUCCAUUCUGGAUUUGUAUAACAUGGGAUAGACUGAAUGAAUAUGUUGUAAGAUGCCCAUGAACAGUGACGUGUGCCGUAGUUCACUUCUAUGUCCCACUGUAGUUCAGGAUAGUACCCCAGCC